UACGUAGGGUGCGAGCGUUGUCCGGAAUUAUUGGGCGUAAAGGGCUCGUAGGCGGUCUGUCGCGUCGGUAGUGAAAACUCAGGGCUUAACCCUGAGCCUGCUUCCGAUACGGGCAGACUAGAGGUAUGCAGGGGAGAAUGGAAUUCCUGGUGUAGCAGUGAAAUGCGUAGAGAUCAUGAGGAAGACCAGUGGCGAAGGCGGGUCUCUGGACAGUUCCUGACACUGAGACACGAAGGCCAGGGGAGCAAACGGG
rnacentral:rRNA from 1 species